rnacentral:lncRNA from 1 species
GGGGGGCAACCAGGAUGGGGGCUCUGUGAGCGUGAACUAGAGAACCCAGAAAGACACACAGUCCCUGGGAACCUGGAAGCUACCGUGUUCCUGCUGCACCCUUACGUGUGUACUCUGCAAGCCUUUUGGCCAGACAAGUCACAUGGCCCUGAGGCGGGUGCUGGAAAACGUGGAGGAGGGGUGGCUUUGGUCGCUGGACACACAUCUCUGCCACGGUGACUGACGGAGGCUGUGAAAGGACAAUCUGAGUGAAGAAGUGAAUGAGGUGCUGAUUCCACAGGGACUUCCUGAGAAGGGCGGAGUGGCUCCCAGCGGACGGGAAUUAGAGACCGCCUGAGAACAGGAAACCUACCUCCUCUAUUUCUGGGUUCCCAGUGUCCUGCCCAGAGCCCAUCAUGUGGCAGAAGCUCAGGACACAAAUGUCAGGGGCAGAAGACUAAGUCCUUGCUCUGGGCAGGGGUCAGGACGUGUGCAGCUCCUUGGCCCCAGAAUUGUUUCCCUCCUGCCUCACUCCCUGGUGUAGAAUUUGGCCCAGACGCUCCCUGCCAUGUGACUUGGCAGGAGCUCCCUCUAGAGGAGGGGUAGUGAUAUAGCUGUAAAUCUCACGUUGAGGCUGGGCGCGUUGGCUCAAGCCUGUAAUCCCAGCACUUUGGGAGGCUGAGGCAGGCGGAUCACCUGAAGCCAGGAGUUCGAGACCAGCCUGCCCAACAUGGUGAA